GAUGAACGCUGGCGGCGUGCCUAACACAUGCAAGUCGAACGGAAAGGCCCUGCUCUUGUGGGGUGCUCGAUUGGCGAACGCGUGAGUAACACGCGUGUAUCCUGCCCUUGUCUUUGGGGUAACAUCAGGAAACUGGGGCUCAUAUCGGAUAGGAUCUCCUGCACCACGGUGGGGAUUGGAAAGUUUCGGCGGUUGGGGAUGGUCUCGCGGCUUACCAGCUUGAUGGUGGGGUAGUGGCUUACCAAGGCUACGACGGGUAGGCGGCCUGGGAGGCUGACCAGCGACAUUGGGACUGAGGGAGGGCGCAGACUCGUACGGGAGGCAGCGGUGGGGAGUAUUGCACAGUGGGCGGAAGCGUGUUACAAAGGCGCUGCGUGCGGGAUGACGGCCUUCGGGUUAUGAACAGCUGUCGCCGGUGACGAAGCGUGAGUGACGGUAAUGAGUAAAGAAGCACCGGCUAACUACGUG
rnacentral:rRNA from 1 species